GACGACGCUGGCGGCGUGCUUAACACAUGCAAGUCGAACGAGGGGCAGGCGGGUGAGUAAUGUCUGGGAACCUGCCUGAUGGAGGGGGAUAACUUCUGGAACCGGUAGCUAAUCCCGCAUACCAUCGGAUGUGCCCAGAUGGGAUUAGCUAGUAGGUGGGGUAAAGGCUCACCUAGGCGACGAUCCCUAGCUGGUCUGAGAGGAGGACGAGCCAAACUGGAACUGAGACACGGUCCAGACUCCUACGGGAGGAAGAAGUGGGGAAUUUUGCCAAAUGGGCGAAAGCCGGAUGAAGCCAUGCCGCGUGUAGGAGGAAGGCCUUCGGGUUGUAAAGUACUUUCAGCGGGGAGGCGUUACCCGCAGAGGAAGCACCGGCUAACUCCGUGCCAGCAGCCGCGGUAAUUC
rnacentral:rRNA from 1 species